rnacentral:rRNA from 1 species
UACAGAGGGUGCAAGCGUUGUUCGGAAUUAUUGGGCGUAAAGCGCGUGUAGGCGGCUUUGCAAGUCGGGUGUGAAAGCCCUCAGCUUAACUGAGGAAGUGCGCCCGAAACUGCAGAGCUUGAAUACCGGAGAGGAUGGCGGAAUUCCCCAAGUAGAGGUGAAAUUCGUAGAUAUGGGGAGGAACACCAGAGGCGAAAGCGGCAUCCUGGGCCGGGCCUGACGCUGAGGCGUGAAAGCGUGGGUAGCAAACAGG